rnacentral:rRNA from 1 species
CCUACGCGGGGCAGCAGUGGGGAAUAUUGGACAAUGGGCGAAAGCCUGAUCCAGCCAUGCCGCGUGUGUGAAGAAGGCCUUCGGGUUGUAAAGCACUUUCAGUGGGGAAGAAAGCCUUGGGGCUAAUACCCUCGAGGAAGGACAUCACCCACAGAAGAAGCACCGGCUAACUCCGUGCCAGCAGCCGCGGUAAUACGGAGGGUGCGAGCGUUAAUCGGAAUUACUGGGCGUAAAGCGCGCGUAGGCGGUCUGAUAAGCCGGUUGUGAAAGCCCCGGGCUCAACCUGGGAACGGCAUCCGGAACUGUCAGGCUAGAGUGCAGGAGAGGAAGGUAGAAUUCCCGGUGUAGCGGUGAAAUGCGUAGAGAUCGGGAGGAAUACCAGUGGCGAAGGCGGCCUUCUGGACUGACACUGACGCUGAGGUGCGAAAGCGUGGGUAGCAAACAGGAUUAGAUACCCAGUAGUC